CCCACCUAUGCACCCCAGCCUUUUCACCCCAAACUGUUUCCUCCUCUGCCAGAAACAAACCACCGUGUAGUCUUUGCCUAUGGAAAUGGCUCUUGAAGUUAAAUGAGACUGGAUAAAAUACAUACAUGAAGCAAAGGCUGCUCUACAUGUGUUAAGGCUAAAAUACCAGAAAGAGUUUUUGAUGAGCC
rnacentral:lncRNA from 1 species